CUUCUGGCGGGCUGGGCGCCGUCGCCACCGCCGCGCGUCUCGAGGCUCCGCCCACUCAGUGCUCCCGCACCCGCGGCGCCGGGCUCCAGGUUGUGCAUUUUUUCAGUCACCAGUUCUGGUGACCAUGAAGGGAUUCAGCGCAGACUUCUCUGCUUCACCUAAACUCUAUGAGGCACCAGAGCCUUGGUGCCAGCAGAGGCCUCUCGUGCCCGUCUCCCUCCUUGGAGAGUCCAGACGAAUUUGGGUUUGAAAAAGCAUGGCUCUGAUUUAUGUGCCUGGAGGUUGGUCGUGCCACACACCAAAAAUUUUUUUAAAAAGCAAGAAAAAAAAAUAAUAAAGAAAGAAAGAACAAACGAACAAACAUAUAGGAGGCAACAGGUUUAAAAUGGGAAGACAUGCUCAAGCAAUUUCACUCCUAGGAUUUCACAGGCGACACACAUAUGUAAAGAUUUGCCUGAGUGCUGCUAGCAAUGCUUACCCCCUCGCCUGAGAUGCUCAAAGAACUGAAGACCUAGAAGGGCUCUUAGGAAACUGAGAGCUGGAAAAGCUGAAUGACCCGACUGGCGAGACGGAGCAUAGGGCAAAAUGCAAAUUAAAACCCCGGUCCCAUACACUGUCCACUCGACGUGCUUUUUCCUCUUUUCUCAUUUUAUGUGAGUGAAGAAACUGGAACCCUUGCACACUGCUGGCAAAAAUGUAAAUGGUGCAGACCCUUUGAAAAACGGUUUGGCAGAUUCUCAAAAAGUUAAACACAGGGUUACUUACUAUACGACCCAGGAAUGCCACUCCUAAGUAUAUCUCCAAGAGAAAUAAAAAUGUGUGUCUAUGCAAAGGCUUGUCCACAAAUAUUCAUAGCCACAUUAUUUGUAAGGGCUCCAAAGUGGAAAUAAUCUGAAUGUCUAUCCACUGAUGAAUGGAUAAACAAAACCGAUUGUAAAAUAAGCAAAAUUUAUUUAGAAAUAAAAUGAAAUAAAAUAGUUAUGCUAUAUUAUGUUAUUCAGCAAUAAAAAGAAAUAAAUUACUGAUGUACGCUAUGAUAUGGAUGAGUCUCGAAAGCAUGCUAAGUGAAAGAAACCAAGAACAAAAGACUACAUAUGGUAUGAAUCCACUGAUAAAUGUCCUAAAUAGGCAAAUCUAUAGAGAUAGAGAGUAAAACUGGUUUCAAAGGGCUCAGGGGAGUGGGGAAUGACUACUAAUGGGGCUGGGUUGUGAGGGAUGAAAAUGUUCUAAAACUACAUCAGGGAUGGUAACAUGAGCCCGUGAACCUAUUAAAACCAUUGGAUUGAAACCUUUAAAUUACUAAAUUAGAUGGCAUAUGAGUUCUAUCUCGCUAAAGCUAUUUUUAAAUGAUUAAACAAAGAACUAGUUAUUUCCUUUAAGUAACCACAACUUUAUGUAGAGGAUUUAAAACACGUUUUCACAAGGUCUCUGACACGUCCCCCCUCAAGAGGUCCUCUCCCCUUGGACGUGGGUAGACAUCUGUGAUUGCCUUGACCAAUGAACUGUGGCAGAAGUAAUGUUCCCUGACUUAAGGGGCUACGUAGAAAAGGCCAUGCACCAUCAGUAGCAAGUCCACAAAUAACAAAUGCUGGAGAGGGUGUGGAGAAAAGGGAACCCUCCUGCACUGUUGGUGGGAAGGUAAGCUGGUACAGACACUAUGGAGAACAAUAUGGAGGUACCUUA